rnacentral:rRNA from 1 species
UACGUAGGGCGCAAGCGUUGUCCGGAAUUAUUGGGCGUAAAGAGCUCGUAGGCGGCCUGUCGCGUCUGCUGUGAAAUCCCGGGGCUUAACCCCGGGUCGCAGUGGAUACGGGCAGGCUAGAGGUAGGUAGGGGAGAAUGGAAUUCCCGGUGUAGCGGUGAAAUGCGCAGAUAUCGGGAGGAACACCGGUGGCGAAGGCGGUUCUCUGGGCCUUACCUGACGCUGAGGAGCGAAAGCGUGGGGAGCGAACAGG